rnacentral:lncRNA from 1 species
GAAAGCCAAGGCGUUAACAAGAGAAACCACCCACUUCCUCGACUCUCUCUUCCUCCUCACCACAAUCUCAACCUUUCUCACUUCCUCGAUCUGAUUUGAACCCUGAGUUUGAAAUUCUUUCUCUCACCCUUUAUCAUCUUCUUCCUACUCUUCUGUCGCGAUUACUUGGAUGCUUCCUACCACUUGGUCUCUGUUUCUCUCAAUUAUCUAUAUAAACCCUAGUUUGGAUUUCGAUUUUGACUAGUCAAUAGAAUCUGUUUAUUUGGAGCAAGCUGGGGUGUUUUCUCGGUUUCUCUCGGCUGUUAGGGGUUGCAACCUUGGUUGAAAGGUUAGAUAAUCUGAAUUCCAUCUAUUCAAGGCUUUGAUUUCUCUACAAUUUGAUUCUGUUAAAACUAAAUUUUUACAAAAAAGAAGAAAACGAGAAUUUUUAUUGUUAUUCAUAUCACAGUGUUAGGAAUUAGAAUGAAAUUGGGUAAUCCAAGAUUGAAAAUGGUUUACGACUAGUUUGCUUAUUAAUAAUUUUCACUUUAUCGAAGGGAAAGAUUACAUAGUGGAGUCAGGUUAUGAAAAAUUAAUCACAAUCCUGACUUUUCGUAAUGAAAUUGAAAAAGCCAUGUAAUGCUACACUGUAAGAACAAGGACCCAGUCACACAUCAGGUCCUGAUCGGCACCUAUGGUCUCCGUUUCAUGCGUAGACCCAAAUCCAGUUUCAUGUGAGACUUUACCGUCUACCUACUGCACCGCCCCCGGCUCCCAAACCACUCUCCCGCAGUUUUAGCCAUUCAAUUAGUUUCAAAAUAUUUUUUUAGGUUAGUAGGAAGGAGAGAUUUGCUAAAAUCUAAAACAAUUUGUAUGGUUAUUUGUUUGAUUUGCUAUUUAAAAUUGAAAGAUUGAUACCAUAUUCUAAGAAAAAUUGGGUCUAAGGAUUGAGAGACAGAGGAUAACGAUAACAAAAAAUAAAUUGAUGUGUUAUUAGGUUUAUGUUUGAAGAAGACAACAUAAUAUUCCACCACUCCUUAAAAGUACAUGUCAAAGUUACAGUAGGAUUGUUGUUACAAAGCUUUAUUUAUUUUUGAUAAAAGUAGUAUAUGUAUUACUAAAGAAAAAUCAGGCUUACAAUAUCUGAUCAGAAUGCAAGGACUGCAUCAUCAGAUUACAUCCCAAAAGACAUUUCCUUGUUAUAUACAGAGUCCCAUUCCCAACCCCACCUUUACAUACCAUGUGUACACAUACAAGCAAAGCUGCAAAUAAAAAGAAAGCCCAGGAAACACUCUAACCAAACCUGCAGAAUGCUUGUACUGCUGCUGGGAGCUUUUGGACUGCUGCUGCUUGUGGCGCCAGGUAACUCUCUUGCUCCCUAUGUACUGUCGCUGCUGAGAGACCCAACAGAUAUAUAGCCAUAGUCUUUCAGACCUCCCCUUUAGCAAACUUCCAGGCCUUGUCUAUGUUGUAGUUUGUUGGACCAUUUUAUUCUCACAUAAUAAUUUGUUUCUGGAUAUGACACUUCAUCUAGGUUUACUUUGACAACAUAAGAAACUUCCAAGUAAAAUUCAGUGAGUUCUUCGAGAAUGGAUUCAUCUCUGAGAUUGAAGUUUGGAUUAGGUCCUUGUGGAAAGUUGCGAUUGAAGAUAUCCUGACAUUGGAGAGCUCCAGGUAGCCAGCUUUUAUUAAGUAAUUUGCAUUAAUUAAGUACUUUAGUUUUUUCACUUUUUCUGCAAUAUUCCUUGGGCUUUAACUGUUGGCAACAGUAUGUGUCUUUAACUGUUGGCAUUUUUGGAUAUGUUUUCAGUUAUUGAUUUGUGGUGGAUUCAUACUUCCUAGUUGUUAUAUGUGGGUAUGUUACUGUGAGAAAUUUUGUCUUUUUGUUUUAUUUGCGUAGACCUAAUAUGCUAUUGCACAUACUGGUCAGAUCAUUCUCACUGUCAGCCAUGUGGCCGCCUCCAUGAAUCUAAUGGCAUCACCAAGGCUUAUGGGACCAGCGUACUAUAUAGAGGUAUGUGUUUUAUAAAGAUAUUACAUGAAACUUGUACUUGAAUUGUAUUUUUUCACUCAAAUUGGGAGAUUGUCAAACAUUGCAUGUGGCGUGUCAGAUACAAAUCCUUAUUAACUGUAUAUCUGUCGUUUCCAGUGUGAUCCCAUUGUCGAGGUCAUGUAACAGCUGAUGUUGCUGAAGCGGGUACCCCAUCUUAUAUUAGUAAGGUUAGCGACAAAAUUAAACUGCACACGCUCUUUAUUAUUAGAUGAAUGCUUGUAAUUAUAUACCUAUAGCACGACAUUAAGUUUUUUUGACGUGCAAUUUUCUCAAUUUUGAAUUGAGUCCCCAGUUUUUUUUCGUACAAUUUUCUCAAUGUUGAAUUGAGUCACCAGAUUGUGUAAUCCAUUUUUUGGAACUAUUCAGUUAUAUGAAACCUAGGCAAGAGUUGAAAUAUUUUUAAGUCAAAAACAAAAGUUGCAAUUAUGGGUGCUGCUAACAAGGAAAGUAUAAUGAACUUAUCUGCCACAUAGUUUUCAAUCUUAAUCUUGUUUAUUAUUGAAUACGGUGGAUUAAUAGGUCGUUUAAGGAUCUUUUUUUUUUUUAAUUAGUAUCAUGUUUCCUCUAUAAUAUUUAUUGUUUUAUAUUGUAGGUCAUAGAGAACAAGCCAUAUGAUCACGACAAGGAUGUCUUUAAUUAGUUUCAGAAUGUCUUAUGGGUGCUGAUGAUUGGGAAGGUAAGUCUUUUGGGAUUCAUUUUGGACAUGAACUGAUUGGAUAU